rnacentral:rRNA from 1 species
UACGAAGGGGGCUAGCGUUGUUCGGAUUUACUGGGCGUAAAGCGCACGUAGGCGGAUCGAUCAGUCAGGGGUGAAAUCCCAGAGCUCAACUCUGGAACUGCCUUUGAUACUGUCGAUCUGGAGUAUGGAAGAGGUGAGUGGAAUUCCGAGUGUAGAGGUGAAAUUCGUAGAUAUUCGGAGGAACACCAGUGGCGAAGGCGGCUCACUGGUCCAUUACUGACGCUGAGGUGCGAAAGCGUGGGGAGCAAACAAG